rnacentral:rRNA from 1 species
GGCUCAGGACGAACGCUGGCGGCGUGCCUAAUACAUGCAAGUCGAACGGUCUUUCUAUGGAAGCUUGCUUCCACUGAGAAGAUAGUGGCGAACGGGUGAGUAACACGUGGGUAACCUGCCCAUAAGAGGGGGGAUAACAUCCGGAAACGGGUGCUAAUACCGCAUAGUUUUCUUGAUCGCAUGAUCGGGAAAGGAAAGACGGCCUUUGUGCUGUCGCUUAUGGAUGGACCCGCGGCGUAUUAGUUAGUUGGUGAGGUAACGGCUCACCAAGACGAUGAUACGUAGCCGACCUGAGAGGGUGAUCGGCCACAUUGGGACUGAGACACGGCCCAAACUCCUACGGGAGGCAGCAGUAGGGAAUCUUCCGCAAUGGACGAAAGUCUGACGGAGCAACGCCGCGUGAGUGAAGAAAGGUUUUCGGAUCGUAAAACUCUGUUGUCAGAGAAGAACAAGUUGGAGAGUAACUGCUCCAGCCUUGACGGUAUCUGACCAGAAAGCCACGGCUAACUACGUGCCAGCCGCCGC